rnacentral:lncRNA from 1 species
GGAGUGGGAAGCUGGCAGCAGACCAGUGCUGGAUCUCAUUCAUCCAAGCAAAUCUGGGUCUGCGUGACACAUUAAGACUCCCAAGUUCUUCCUAUACGUGGCAUCAAUGCAGAUGGGAAGUCUGAGAGGGUGUUCUGAAGUUCUACAACUGAAGCGGACCAGCUGUAGCUCAGUACACACUUUCAGGAUGAGAAGAAGACCUGGAAACUAUAGGUAAGCCGUUCUGGAAUCUUUGGAAGAAGAUGGUCAUAUAUGAGGAUAGAUAGAAAGGACAACCAGAAAAUAUUGAGACUCCUCUAGGAACUCACUUAGAAUAUACCGUAUUUUCUCGUGUAUAAGACUAGGUUUCCCCCCUAAAAGAUAAUGUCAAAAAUUUAUACACAGAUACAUCUCCCCCCAUUUUCUUAAAUCGGAGUCCCCCAAAACAGUGGGCGUCUUAUACAUGGGGGUGUCUUAUAGGCGGAAAAAAUACGGUACAUCUGCCAUAUGUUCCAUUGCUGUACCUCAGAUAUUUUUGUUGAAUAAAGUUGAAUAAAUUAAACAAAUAUGGGGAGGGGGGUGUCUAUGAAACCUGACUUUCCUAAUCCAUGCACGUUUCUUCUACUCUUUUACGAUGAACAAACCACAACCCACAAUUAUCCACUUUAUCCUGGUAAAGCAAGGAGCCUUCACCUUUCAACAGGUAAGCCAGUGGUCCACAUCAUUCUGCUCAGCGGCAAGGAACAUUCCUCAACACUUCUGCACAUGGUCGGGAAUCUAUAGACAAAAAAGAUGGGCAAGGCACCACUUGGUAAAGGGUUGUCUGUAUUCACCCCGAGAUGGAAGAGCAGCAAGAAGGCCCCCUUGCCCUGUAAUUAAAAACUGGAAUUAAAAGUGUUUGGGGGAAGUGAUGAUGGUAUCAUACAGCAAUCUAGCUGAAAUGUGAUUCCGGGUGCCACUUUCUUUAUUAAAGAUUCUUACAAAGGCCAAAGAGUCAUUCAGGCUGCUUUAAUUUCAGCAAAGCCAGGCGCAGCUUUUCUUUAAAGAGCUUUGCAUCUCCUCCUCUGGCUUGUAAAUGGCUCAAAGAUAUACAACCUGCUUCAGCACUUGAAAAGCUGGAGGGGAAGAGAGUUUGAAGCUGAAAGCUUCCAGUCGUAUACGGAUACCCUUUGUGCCUUUGUUAUGAAAAGUAGAGCUCAGAUCUCCAAUUAUUCUUCUGGAUACAUUUAAUGAUAUCUCAAGCCGGAAUUCUACAUGGAGCUCAGAAAAGCCCGCGUUCCAACGCUGGAAGGGGCAACAGAGGUGAAUUUUAGUCUUUUGAAAGCAAGGAAGGAUUAUAGUGGGCUCACCACUUACGCUCACUUAUGCUAUCACAACCUUACGCAAAUAAGGGAGUAAAUAAAUAAACAGAGAGCUAGGGAAACAUGCCACUCCUUGCUUUCCAUGUAUUUUCCACACACCCAGCAGCUGAUCCUCGCUUACAGGGCUCUGGGAAGGUUGAGGAAGGGCACUGGAAAGCUCCCAGAGCACCUUGUGAAUCCUUCCCAGAGUCCAGUAAGCAGCCCUCAGCCUUGAGGCGAGUAGUUCCAAGGGUUCCUGUCUUUGUGCACGGCCCCCUGGAACCAAACCCUCACAGGUGCGUGUGUGUGUAUUGGCAGAGUGCAAAAUCGCCUGGAGAACAAACUGAGCCACUUCUGCAGGUCUCAAGUUUUGAAAGCGUGGAGGCUCAGAGCAGGAAGUCUGGAAGCCAGGUAUUAGCCCAGGUCCUGACAGCCUCCCCAGUCCACACCAUAGCUGCGGUGCCCACUUUCCCCCUUUUAGUACAAUCCCAGCAAACCAUGCAGAAUUCAGCGGGCAGUUUCUCCAUGAGAAGUCGAGCAUGUGGCAACACGAGAACGGAGCCUUUUCUGCAGUGGCUCCUCAUUUGUGGAAUGCUCUCCCCAGAGAGGCCCACCUGGUACCUUUAUUAUACACCUUUAGGCACCAGGCAAAAGUGUUCCUCUUCAACAAGGUCUUGGGCUGAUCAACAACCCUUUUAAAUGUGUUUGUGUGGGGUGGGGGAGGCGGGUAAUGUAUUGUUUUUUGCUCUCUUUUUUUUGCAUUUUUAUCUUGUAUUUUUAUGCUGUGACCUUCCCCGAGAUCCACAAGGGCAGUAUACAAAUUUAAUAAAUAAUUGUAAUAACAAUAAUAGUAACAAAUCUUAAACUACUUUCCACACAAAUAUUUUUGCCCCAUUUUAAUUCCCCUGGUUUUCCUGAUUGCUCUCCUUCAACGCAGAUCCAUUUCAAAUCCUCAGCUAUUCAGAGUUUCAGAUCCCUUGGAAGCUGUUGCACACACAGCUGUGCACACAAAGGCAUUGGCAAAGAUGUUGGGAUGAGUGUGCAACAUCGUACGCUAAGCAAGGUGUGCAAAGGCCUAUCAUCAAAUGGAAGCACAAAAAGAGGGAGAAGAAAGAAUGAAGGAGGGAGAAAGUGAAAGGGAGGAGAAAAAUAUAUAGCUGCCAUUUUAUCUUGCAUACAUUUGCACAGCAUUUCCUCAUAUUUCUUUAUCUCUCUCCUCUUGAUUUUUAUUAGCUCCUUCUUCCUUGGCUGCUGGGUCCACUAAUUAUCCAGGUAUCGAGGUCUGCUUCAGUUUUAUCUCUCCGUUUAUGUAGUAUCUGCCUUUGAGCACUAAAUACUGCUGCUCUUUUAAUCCAAGCCUAUCAUUCCUCCUUUAUGUUUCCAGAAAGCUGGAGUGUAUCCUAAUAUUAACACUGUGAAAGAUCGUUUUCCCUUCUUUCCUAGGACCAGGUUAAUUCAGUUGCACCACUUUCCCCAGAACUCACCAAUACAGGAUAGUCUUGAUAAUACUGAAAUAAUAAUGAGAGGAAGUAUGACGUAGUGGUUAGAGUGUCAGACUAGAAUGUGGGAGCCCAGGGUUCAAAUCCCCACUUGGCCAUGAAGAUAACUGGGUGACCUUGGGCCAGUUACUGCCUCUCAGUCUAAUCUACCUCACCAGGUUGUUGUGGGGAUGACCUCCAAACCAUCGCAGAAGCUUACGAAAAGCUUGGCCUAUCACUCAACAUCCAAAAAAAAGUGCUGCACCAACAAGUACAAAAUAACCCCUCUGAAGCACCACAAAUCCAACUCAGUGGUGUAACAUUGCAAAAUGUUGAUCACUUCUCCUACCCAGGCAGUUAUCUUUUCACAAGGGUCAACAAUGAUGCCAAAAUCCAGCAUCGCCUGAGCUCUGCGAGUGCGGCUUUCUUCCAAUUGAAGCGCAGAGUGUUUGAGGACCGGGACAUUUGCAGGAAAACCAAAAUGCUUGUUUACAAAGCUAUUGUACUACCGACCUUACUGUAUGCUUGUGAAACAUGGACCACAUAUAAACACCAUCUCCAACUCCUCGAAAGAUUCCAUCAAAGAUGUCUCCGAAAAAUUUUACGCAUCACUUGGGAAGACAGGCGACCUAAUAUCAGUGUACUGGAAGAAGCAAAGAUCACCAGUGUUGAAGCAAUGAUUCUUCAACAUCAGCUUUGUUGGACUGGUCAUGUUGUGUGGAUGCCUGAUGAUCGUCUUCCAAAGCAACUACUCUAUUCCAAACUUAAAAAUGGAAAGUGUAAUGCUGGUGGUCAGCAAAAGAGGUUUAAAGACUCUCUCAAGACAAAUCUUUAAAAAUGUAGUAUGCACACCAACAACUGGGAAACCCUUGCCUGUGAGCUCUCCAGUUGGAGAACAGCCUUUACCAAAGGUGUCAUGGGCUUUGAAGACACUCAAACUCAGGACGCAAGGGAGAAACGUGCUAAGAGGAAGGCACACUUGGCAAAUCCACACCGUGAUCAACUCCUGCCAGGAAAUCAAUGUCCCCACUGUGGAAGGAUGUGUGGAUCCAGAAUAGGCCUCCACAGUCACUUACAGACUCAUUGUUAAGACCGUGUUUAUGGAAGACAAUCUUACUCAGCUACAAGUGAUCGCAGAAGAAGAAGGAGAAGGAGAAGGAGAAGGAGAAGGAGAAGGAGAAGAAAAAGAAGAAGAAGAAGAAUUGGAAGAAGAAGAAGAAGAAGAAGAAUUGAAAGAAGAAGAAUUGGAAGAAGAAGAAUUGGAAGAAGAAGGGGAUUAAACAAGAAGCAGGAAUACCAGGUAUGCAACCUUGAGCUCCUUGGAGAAAAAGGUGGGGUACAAAUGUUGUUUUUGUUCCUCACUUCUAAUAUUUAUGGAUUGUUAAAUUUAAGAAGCGGGGAACACUGAGAGGAGGCUGAGAGGAGAUAUGAAAGCAAUCAUCAAAUAUCUGAAGGGCUGCCACAUGAAAGAUGGAGCAUGCUUGUUUUCUCCUGCUCUGGAGGGGAGGUUUUGAAGCAGAGGCUGGAUGGCCAUCUGUCAUGGAUGCUUCAGCUGAGAUUCCUGCAUUGGACUAGAGGACCCUUGGGGUCUCUUCCAGCUCUACGGUCCUAUGAUUCUAUCUGUUCUAGCUGCACACAUGCUACCAGUCCAGGUUCAAGGCUCUUCUUGUGUUGAUAUACAAAGCCCUGUACAAGCUUGGGCCCAGGGCAACUUAAGGACCACCUGAGUCCUUAUAUUAGAGCUUGAUCACUGAGAUAAUCUGGAGGAGGGCUGUUAGUUGCCCCCUUUAGUGUUACAAAAGUGCAGCUGCCCUCAGCUAGAAGCAGGGAGUUUAGUUCCACUGGUCUCAUGCUGUUGAACGCUAGUCCAGCAGAGAUUUGGCAGGCAUCCUUAGUGUUGACUUUCAGAUGUCUCUUGAAGGCCUUUUUUAAUGCCAGGCCUUUGCAGCUGCUUAAAUUGAUCAGCCACUUUAAUGAUCUGUAUUGUUUCCAACGGUGUUUUGUUCUUUAUAGACGUACCCUGCCCUCGUGUUUUAUGAUAUAGCACCAGACCCGUCGGCAGACCAACCCUGCAGUACAAAGAUAUCUGCAAAU